GAGGGUAUAGCUCAGUGGUAGAGUGCAUGCUUAGCAUGCAUGAGGUCCCAGGUUUAAUCCCUAGUAUCUCCA
rfam:Camelus ferus unplaced genomic scaffold scaffold595, whole genome shotgun sequence.